AAUAUGUUUUUGCUCAAAAAUGAGUAUUCACUACCAGGGACACAGAAAUAAAAUAUGAAUGGUUUUACUGAUAGACAAUAAAUCCCAGCUUUAUGCAGCUUUGAGUUUAAUCUUCAAUAUUAGAGAUCUCUUUAAAUGAUCUUAUGUCUUUGAAUGUGGAAGAGUGUAAUGGAUUAUUGUGUAAUCCUAUAUUUGUCUCUUUAACCACAGAAAGCAGCUUUUUAAGGACAGAACCGGUAUCACUGCUGGACUGAUAUAAAAUCAGGAAACGUCAGACAUGGAUUCAAAAACGUCUGAGGAUCACAGACCAGCUUCACCUACACCAACCAGUAUCUCAAUGAGAAGUGACCGUUCCAGGGACCUUGAUGUAAAAUUCAAAGGAGGAGAAACCAGAAUGUCUGAGGAUGACAGACCAGCUUCACCUACACCAACCAGUAUCUCAAUGAGAAGUGACCACUCUGGCUUUUAUGACAUAGACUUCAAAGAAGA